GUGCACGCGCUCGUAAGUGCGAGCAACCCCUAGGUGUCCGGCAGUAGGUGCAUCAUGAAGCUCCUGAAGCACGGUUAAGCGGAGAUGUUGGGGAACGACAAA
rnacentral:lncRNA from 1 species